rnacentral:rRNA from 1 species
GAUGAACGCUGGCGGCGUGCCUAAUACAUGCAAGUCGAGCGAACAGACGCGGCGCUUGCUCCUCUGACGUUAGCCGCGCACGGGUGAGUCACACGUGUAUCCCCUCCCUAUCUGACUGGGAUCACUUCGGGACACCGGCGCUAAUCCCGUAUAAUAUAUUGCACCGCAUGGGUCGAUGGUGAAAGACGGUGUUGCUGUAACUUCUCGCUGCUUCCGAGCCGCUUUAGCUAGUUGGUAAGGUAAAGGCUUACCACGGCAACGAUGCGUAGCCGACCUGAGAGGGUGAUAGGCCACAUUGGAACGGAGACACGGUCCAGGCUCCUGCGGGAGGCAGCAGUAGGGAAUCGUCCGCAAUGGGCGAGAGCCUGACGGAGCAACGGCGCGUGAGUGAUGAAGGUCUUCGGAUCGUAAAACUCUGUUAUUAGUGAAGAACAAAUGUGUAAGUAACUAUGGACGUCUUGACGGUACCUAAUCAGAAAGCCACGGCUAACUACGUG